GCAUAUAAAAUAAAGUUUCUUUUUAACUCCAAUUAAAAUAUGUGUGGCCGUUUCACACACAUUUCUCUCUACACGAAAAACCGCACCUCUUAACUACAAAAAUACUACUCCCUCUGUCCCAUUCCAAUAGGCUCAUUUUCCUUUUUGGGAUGUCCCACUCCAAUAGGCUCAUUUUCCUUUUUGGGUAAAAAAGUUGUACUUAAUUGGUGUGGACCACACUACUUUACUAUCACUUUCCUACUAACAAGUAAGUUUUCUUAAUCACCGUGCCCAAAAGAAGUGAGCCUAUUGGAGUGGGACGGAGGGAGUACUAUUAAUAUAAUUAAAAAGUAAAAUAGUGAAAGCCCUAUUACAUUUUUCCCAAUCCAGCGCCGCUACAGCUUCUUCUUCUCCAUUGCUUUCUUUUCUUUUCUUUUUGCGUCAAGGAGUGCAGCAGCGGAAGAGAGAAUAAGAAAGAUCUGGUAACCACUGCCCUAAAUAAAUUGUCAUCCCCGCUCACUGGAUUGACGAUCAAGAGGAGACGAUCUAACGGCUGGAGGGAAUUCCGUCGCCGGCGAUGGAGCCGCCUUCGCUCAAGCCUCAAGGUUUCAUCGUACGGAUGUUGCGGUGCUUUCGGGAAGGGCAAGAAGACGCGUUUCGAUUGAAUN
rnacentral:lncRNA from 1 species